rnacentral:tRNA from 1 species
GGGCCUGUAGAUCAGUGGAAGAUCAUUAUCUUGCACUUAGUAAGGUAAAUUUAAGCUUGACUUGCACUCAAGAGGUCACGGGUUCAAAUCCCGUCAGGUCCACCA